rnacentral:rRNA from 1 species
UACGGAGGGUGCAAGCGUUAUCCGGAUUCACUGGGUUUGAAGGGUGCGUAGGUGGGCAGUUAAGUCAGUGGUGAAAUCUCCGGGCUUAACCCGGAACUGCCGUUGAUACUAUCUGUCUUGAAUAUAGUGGAGGUGAGCGGAAUAUGUCAUGUAGCGGUGAAAUGCUUAGAUAUGACAUAGAACACCCAUUGCGAAGGCAGCUCGCUACACUAUCAUUGAC